GACGAACGCUGGCGGCGUGCUUAACACAUGCAAGUCGAACGGAAAGGCCCUGCUUUUGUGGGGUGCUCGAGUGGCGAACGGGUGAGUAACACGUGAGUAACCUGCCCUUGACUUUGGGAUAACUUCAGGAAACUGGGGCUAAUACCGGAUAGGAGCUCCUGCUGCAUGGUGGGGGUUGGAAAGUUUCGGCGGUUGGGGAUGGACUCGCGGCUUAUCAGCUUGUUGGUGGGGUAGUGGCUUACCAAGGCUUUGACGGGUAGCCGGCCUGAGAGGGUGACCGGCCACAUUGGGACUGAGAUACGGCCCAGACUCCUACGGGAGGCAGCAGUGGGGAAUAUUGCACAAUGGGCGGAAGCCUGAUGGAGCAACGCCGCGUGCGGGAUGACGGCCUUCGGGUUGUAAACCGCUUUCGCCUGUGACGAAGCGUGAGUGACGGUAAUGGGUAAAGAAGCACCGGCUAACUACGU
rnacentral:rRNA from 1 species